rnacentral:tRNA from 1 species
GGAGAGAUGCCAGAGUGGUUGAAUGGGAAGCACUCGAAAUGCUUUGUAUGAGGUUUCUUAUACCGGGGGUUCGAAUCCCUCUCUCUCCGCCA